rnacentral:rRNA from 1 species
AUUGAACGCUGGCGGCAGGCUUAACACAUGCAAGUCGAGCGGAGAUGAGGUGCUUGCACCUUAUCUUAGCGGCGGACGGGUGAGUAAUGCUUAGGAAUCUGCCUAUUAGUGGGGGACAACAUUCCGAAAGGAAUGCUAAUACCGCAUACGUCCUACGGGAGAAAGCAGGGGAUCUUCGGACCUUGCGCUAAUAGAUGAGCCUAAGUCGGAUUAGCUAGUUGGUGGGGUAAAGGCCUACCAAGGCGACGAUCUGUAGCGGGUCUGAGAGGAUGAUCCGCCACACUGGGACUGGGACACGGCCCAGACGCCUACGGGAGGCAGCAGUGGGGAAUAUUGGAGAAUGGGGGGAACCCUGAUCCAGCCAUGCCGCGUGUGCGAAGAAGGCCUUUUGGUUGUAAAGCACUUUAAGCGAGGAGGAGGCUACCGAGAUUAAUACUCUUGGAUAGUGGACGUUACUCGCAGAAUAAGCACCGGCUAACUCUGUGCCAGCAGCCGCCGUAAAAC